UCCGUGUUCCCCUCCCUUAUCCAAAUCCACAGAUACAAAAUCUAGGAAAUGUGCAAUUUGCAUCUUAGAAAUAGCAGCAUCCCCACAGGGGACCUCGUGAGGCCUGGAGAUUCAGCCCCAAGAGGGCAACCCCACUCCUGCCUCAGCACGACCACAGUCCAAACCGAAGUUAAGUUCCAUUUUUUUGUUAAAACGUUUACCCAGGGUAAAGAAUUCCCAUUCUACCCAAGGCUUAAGUGAUAGAGUAUGCUGUUUUCUCGGUUUGGUCUCUCACACCUGGCCAUGGCAGGAGAUGGGACCCUCUUGCAGAGUUUGGCUAAAGUUUCAUUGUGCCUCAAAACAAACAAAAACAGGGCAGUUGCCUCUUACUUGUUUAGCACCAAGAUGAUCACCUUUUCAGCCAUCUCUCCUGACAGCAGACUGCUCAACAGUCACUCCCCAGUCUUAUUGCCCAGAAGUCCGGCCACAGGGAACAAGGCUUUGUGCUGAAGACCAAAAUGCAAAUGGGUGCUAGAAAACCAGGAAUCAAGACCUUGUCAGGAGGCAUCUACAGGCCUUUGGCAACCUCCCUGACUUCCACAAAGGCUGCCCUCAGUAAAACUCAAUGAACAAUGGCCAGCAGGGGAGAAAGGAAGGUGGGCGUGUUUUCUCUUUAAUAACAAUUAUGGCACAAUCUGACCCUCCUAACACUUCUGAACAAAGCAACUGCUCAGAAGCACAGCGGGAACCCUCUACACAGGGGUGACUGCUUCUCCCCUGGCCCCGACCCAGUCUAACCGAGAACAACCGGAUUGCUGUGCUGGGUCCCUGCUGAGGAGUAGGGACUGGCGCUCCUCACUCCUGCUGACAAUCUCAUGUGGGGCUCUGGCCCUGUUCCAAGCAAACUGCAAGAACGAGACCAAACAGUAUGGGCAGGAACCAGGGAUGAGUGACAAGAUCUCCCUAAACAAAUUACAGGAUUCAUAGGUACCAUGUAGAUUUUUCUUUUAAAUGUAUUUCUACUCAGGUUUGAUUCUUGGGAAAGACCAAGCACUUGUAGCUCUCUAUUCAGUGACUAAACAACCUGACAUUUCACUUUUAACUCCAGUCACAUUAAGUUUUUUUUUUUUUUUUGAGACGGAGUUUCGCUCUGUCGCCCAGGCUGGAGUGCAGUGGCACGAUCUCAGCUCACUGCAACCUCCACCUCCCGGGUUCAAGUGAUUCUCCUUCCUCAGCCUCCUGAGUAGCUGGGAUUACAGGCGCGCACCACCACGCCCGGCUAAUUUUUGUAUUUUUAGUAGAAACGGGGUUUCACCAUGCCGAUCAGGCUGGUCUCGAACUCCUGACCUCAGGUGAUCCGCCUCCCUUGGCCUCCCAAAGUGCUGGGAUUACAGGUGUGAGCCACUGCGCCCAGCCAAGUCACGUUAAUUUUGAAUCAUCCACUUACGGAAAGGAACAGAAGUUAAAAAGCAUUAACCAAGAAAAACUAUUCAUUAACACAUACAGGUGCUCAUGUGUGUGUGUGCACGCGCACAUGAACACACGUUUCAAGCCAGUCUCCUGAAGGAAGAGGCACUAAUGGCAGGUAAAUGCUCAGGCUCCUCUCAGUACCCUGGGGCUCACCGCCUAUCCAAGUGGACAGCAGGGAAGUUAGAAUGGAUGACUCUGCUGGAUCUAGAGCUAAAUAGAAACUUCUUUGCCAUAGAAACUUCUCUGUUGAAGGACUGCGUCCCCAUUCAAAGAGGUCAGAUUUGUGGGCAGGCAAGAGCUCAGGAAUGAAGAACCAAAAAGGAGGCUCUCAACCCCUCUCCAAGGCCAGACGCUCUCUGUACUCCCAUUAACUUCACAACCAAGUGCAGACGCUCGGUGAGUUCAGAGACCACUUGGUUAGCCCUGCCCCACCCCUCCUGGUGUGACCUGGCACUGGGAACACACAGAUUGCAGCAGAAACCUGUUGGUUCCAUUUGCACUCAGAGCAAACCAAGCAGCACCUUGAUUGCCACUUUUCCUCCAGCCACUCUGUCAAAAUCAAAACUGGUUGCCUCACCAGCCCUGGUGUGGCAUGGCCCAACCAUGUCCCUGCCGCCCCACUUAAAUGGCCAGAGAAAACUACAUGGUGGGUAGAUGAGGUUGAAGCCUUGCUUGGGGAAGGGACUUGAGCACAGGAGAAAGGCUUGAGCUCCACAACUGCCCAUUUGCUCAGACAAUGGAGCUUUUCUGAGAUCAAGUGCUCCCCAAACUACAUGGGAGUAGCCCCCCGUGGUCUGGGCAGGCUGGCUGAGAGAGGUCUGUGCUCUCAGGUAAAAGGAGAGAAGGAAGCUGGGUCAAGAGACCCUGAAGAGGAGGGUCCGUGUCUGGAGUGAGGGGAACUGAGCCCUGCUGGCUACCUGACCUGGGUGGGCUGCUGGCUUUGCCCUGGAAGACUUGACUAUGUGGGCCUUCAUGUGUCUAGAGGAUUUUUCUUCUCCAGCAUAUAACUACCUUGAGAAUGGAUGUGAUAUGUGAAAAUUUAAAUUUAAUACAAAAGCACAUCUGCAAAUGGUGAGUCAAACUGGUGAAAUCUCCCAGGUAAACUCUGAGCAAGAAAAAAGAGAAGAUGACUUUAGGAAAAUCCUAAACGAGGUUUGGUUUUAAAAUUUUCUUCUUGGCUGGCUCUCCUCUCCUGCAAGUUGCCUUUAUCCACUUGGGGUGUGAUAUCUGAACUGAAAAAGCUGCACCAAUCUGAGGAUAUUGGUCCAAAAAGAGACAAGAGACCACGAGGCUCAAGCAGAGAGCAUCCACACAGCAUCCAACCAGAAAGGCCAGUGUCCUUCCUCCAUGAAAGGCAGCCAGGGACAGAUGUCCCAGAGCCAGGAGAGAGAGGGAGAGAACACAGGACCUGCCCCUAGGCCACUGACUGAGCAGGAUAAAACCCACAAGGGCACAUCUCAGGCUACGGAAUAGAGAGAUUUCCUGGUGGGACGGCCUCCCAAGGCUAGCUGGAGAUGAGACCACUAGUACAUGUGUGAGCCCGCAAGGCACUACCCAAUGUUCUGUCCAACUUCCUCCUUGUGCUACUAGAGAGCACAGUGUGGAGUCCUUGUGUCAAGGUGCUUUGGUCCACCUGAACAGCCACCUGUCACUCAGCCAAGAGAAAGGAGCUUUAAGUUGUACAAUCACUACCAAACCCCAAGGCCCUGGCAAGCCAUCCAACUAGGGCGUUCUUUUUCAGGAACCCAAGAUUCUCAAAAAUGACACUCCUCCCCUCCCAAAAUAAAAAAGCUCCUUUAUAGUCAAAAACGAAAACAAGUAAUCAAAAUAUACAAAGCAUAUGUAUCAAAUUUAAAUUUCCUUUAUCAGAAUGAUCAUCUGGUUUCACCUUUGAGAACUCGAUCUACAACCCCAUGUAAAAAACAAAUGGGUACAAGACAUCAGCAACAAAAAAACACUAAAAGAUGAUUUUACUAUCUCUGACGAGUCCAACUGCAUACAGAGAAAAGGGAUAAGAUUAGCCACUUUUUAUAGGCUUUUUCUUCAGGAGAGACUAACCUCACCCAACUCUCAACUCUGCAGCCCACAAAUGCCUUCUACUGAAGGCAACAACACAAUUUAACCCUUAGGCAGUGUGCAAAACCACAGUGAGCUGUCCUGUGACAGGGCUACAUACCUGGCUGCUGCCAUCCCACAUCCCCCACUGCCACUGGGCUAGUGUGGGUGUGUCUCUGUGCACGACUGGCUGGAUUCAGGGUUUUGCCCCCAAACCCUUGAGUACCUCCUACAAUGUCCCUUUAAGCACCUGCGUGAUGACUGCCUCCCUCAUCAUCGCUUUUGAUCAUCUUUCAAGGAUAAGGUCCAGAGCAUACUCACUCACUCUCAUCCAACAGCAGAGGAAGAAGGAUCUGUCCAGACUGCUGGGCUCCUUACAUGGGCAUUCUUGCCUUUUGUAGUGUAGCCCUGGCUGUUGGGCAGGGCUAACAUCUAUAAGAAAAACAUACCAGGGCAGGCAGCACUGUACUUUUCCACCUGAAAGAUGAGCUAGUGCCCAUGGCUGGGUCACUGUAGGUCCUGCAUGAACUUGUCCACCAACUGUGUUUUGCUGUUUGGGUUGUAAAUUAACCGUGAAUACAAGUAACCAAGAAAAUCCUCUCCACAGACCAACUCUUCAGCCAGUGCAUGCAGGGCUCUGGAGGUGAUGCCAGCAGGAUCUGGAGGUGAGGCACUGGGUGGUUUCUCAGACACCCGGAGAUGGCUUCAGCCUGGGCCGCCCCAGCUGCCUAGUGCACUGGUGUCCCUCCAACACAGGCUACUCCCCCAACACCCAUGUGCCAC
rnacentral:lncRNA from 10 species